AAUAUUCUUCUGUAUUUUUACAGAUCUCGGUUACAGGUGUGGCCUGAUGAGACUUUGUAUCUCAUGUUAUUAACAGAAAAAAGCAAGGGAUUGUCAAGGAAAACAAUAAAUGUACAAUAUUGAUUUCGAUAUAAUAAAAAAAACCGAACAUGACAAUUGUACAUUUCUCUCUUCAAAUGCAGCCAUAAUUCUGUGUUCAUGUGGAGACGGAGCUGUAGAUUUUGGGUUUGUGGAGACUCCGCUGUUCUGUUACAAUAGAAUGGCUCAUUCAUUCAAAGCAAGCAUGUCGAAAAGGGUCUGCAACAUGGAUUGAGCACACCGUCUGAGUAAUACAGCAUGUUUUGAUAGAGACAUCUGGGAAUUUUUCGCAGUUUUGUGUACAGUGCAUGUGGACCAGAGGCUCGGCCGUCCCCCAGAUCUAGCGUCGUCCACGGAUUCAGGUCGGGGUCCAGGUUUUGUGGCCAACGGUUCAGACAUUCAACGCAACAUUCCACCUCUUGGCACUCAUCUUUUCUUGAAAAGAAAAAAAAGGAAAAGAAA